UGUUGCUUGUAUUUCCAUGAUCUAUAUGUUUAUUUUUAGUCACUUCUUACUUCCUUCGCAUGAUCCUGAUGAUAUGGAAGCUGGUCCAACAUUGGUAGAGACGAAAACAGAAGGAAAUCCAAAUCAACGAAGACUUU
rnacentral:ribozyme from 16 species